GAGUUUGAUUCUGGCUCAGAACGAACGCUGGCGGCAGGCUUAACACAUGCAAGUCGAACGAUGUAGCAAUACAUAGUGGCGCACGGGUGAGUAACGCGUGGGAAUAUACCAUUUGGUGGGGAAUAACUCCGGGAAACUGGAGCUAAUACCGCAUAAGCCCUACGGGGGAAAGAUUUAUCGCCAAAUGAUUAGCCCGCGUGAGAUUAGGUAGUUGGUGGGGUAAUGGCCUACCAAGCCGACGAUCUCUAGCUGGUCUGAGAGGAUGAUCAGCCACACUGGAACUGAGACACGGUCCAGACUCCUACGGGAGGCAGCAGUGGGGAAUAUUGGACAAUGGGCGAAAGCCUGAUCCAGCCAUGCCGCGUGAGUGAUGAAGGCUCUAGGGUUGUAAAGCUCUUUCGCCGAUGAAGAUAAUGACGGUAGUCGGAGAAGAAGCCCCGGCUAAC
rnacentral:rRNA from 1 species